GCCUCUAUAGCUCAGUGGCUAGAGCACUGGUCUAGUAAACCGAGGGUCGGGAGUUCGAUCCUCCCUAGAGGCU
rnacentral:tRNA from 1 species